AAACUGGGGGGUUUCUCUUCAAAGCCAGCUGGUCUGGCUUUAUUCUACAGGAAUUUUUUUACCUGUCAGGGUUUGGACAACAAAGCCCUCAGCAGGUGCUGACGGGUACAACUUCCUGGAGAAGCAGAAAGGCACUGGUGCCAAAGAAGAGUUGCAAACUGUGAAGUAACUUCUAUGAAGAGAUGAAGUAAAGAACGGAAGGCAAAUGACUGUGGCAGUAAAGAAGUGUAUGUGGUGAGUGCUCACAUUUGUUUUUAUCAUUUACCACAGAGUUACCAUAAAGGUAAAACUGCCAAACUCCUUGGCCUUAGGUAUUUACAGAAUAGACGUGUAUAACAAUAAUA
rnacentral:sRNA from 1 species